rnacentral:rRNA from 1 species
CUGAGCAGCACGCCGCGUGCAUGAUGAGGCCUUCGGGAUGUAAACCUUUUGCCAAUGAAGACAGGCUGGUUUGCGGAAGAGGAGGAUCUCUUCUAAUGAUUAAUGCCUUCUGACGUACUAACAGCUCUUUUUUCGUUAUACGUGCUUCACUUCUCCCUUCCCAGUA